CGCGGGCAGGGGCCCGGGCCACUCCGCUCCCUCUGAUCGCUCUUGCAGUUUGCCGAGCACCUUCCGCUGUCGCGGCUCCGCCGCUCGCCUGCCGGUACUGAUGCUGAAGGUCCUCAGGAGCCUCCUACAACCACCACACACUCUUCCUCCAAAGAUGAUAAUCAAGAGCAGCCUUGCAGUCACAGCCAACUCCUUCAGUGCUUAUGGAUGCAGCUCAUCAGGUCCCAUGUACUUGUGCAUGUUGAUUUUGCUUAAAUGUUCCCUUACUGGAGCCUACUUCACACCAAAGCAGGCAUGAGCAGAAGGAAGACAAGAUGAGACACUUACUGUAUCAAGCAUCUCUUUGGUAUGAGCUGCAGACAAACAGAAUCUGGCUCUGGACUCGAUGAUGGGGGUGGCAGGGAAGCCCACAACCACAACACCGA